AUGACCUGUGGCUGGGGGUGAAAGGCCAAUCAAACCGGGAGAUAGCUGGUUCUCCCCGAAAGCUAUUUAGGUAGCGCCUCGUGAAUUCAUCUCCGGGGGUAGAGCACUGUUUCGGCUAGGGGGCCAUCCCGGCUUACCAACCCGAUGCAAACUGCGAAUACCGGAGAAUGUUAUCACGGGAGACACACGGCGGGUGCUAACGUCCGUCGUGAAGAGGGAAACAACCCAGACCGCCAGCUAAGGUCCCAAAGUCAUGGUUAAGUGGGAAACGAUGUGGGAAGGCCCAGACAGCCAGGAUGUUGGCUUAGAAGCAGCCAUCAUUUAAAGAAAGCGUAAUAGCUCACUGGUCGAGUCGGCCUGCGCGGAAGAUGUAACGGGGCUAAACCAUGCACCGAAGCUGCGGCAGCGACGCUUAUGCGUUGUUGGGUAGGGGAGCGUUCUGUAAGCCUGUGAAGGUGGCCUGUGAGGGUUGCUGGAGGUAUCAGAA
rnacentral:rRNA from 1 species